rnacentral:rRNA from 1 species
GUCUAUAUAAAAUUAAUAUUUAGUCUAACCUGCCCAGUGAAUAAUUAAACGGCCGCGGUAUACUGACCGUGCAAAGGUAGCAUAAUAAUUAGUUUUUUAAUUGAAAACUUGAAUGAAAGGUUGGACAAAGAAUAAACUGUCUUUAAUUUUUAAAUUUAAUUUUAUUUUUAAGUCAAAAAGCUUAAAUAAAUAAAAAAGACGAUAAGACCCUAUAAAUCUUAAUAGAAUAUAAUUUUAAAAUAAUUAUUUGUUUAUUAAUUCUAAUAUUAUUAAUAUUUAGUUGGGGCAACAAGAGUAUAAUAAAAAAUUAUUCUUAAUUUAAACAAAGAUAUUUGGUUAAUGAUCCUUUAUUGAGGAGUAAAAGUUUAAGUUACUUUAGGGAUAACAGCGUAAUUUUUUUUGAGAGUUCAUAUCGAAAAAAAAGUUUGCGACCUCGAUGUUGAAUUAAAAUUUAUUUUAAGGUGCAGAAGCCUAGAAAUUUAAGUCUGUUCGACUUUUAAAAUUUU